rnacentral:misc_RNA from 1 species
AUGAGAUCAUGCCCUUCGGGGUAGACCUCCCACCCUUUGUUUACAAUACCUUUGUUGCUUUGGCGGCCCCGUCGCAAGACAACCGGCUCCGGCUGGUCAGCGGCCGCCAGAGGACUCAAAACUCAUAUUAUUAUUGUCGUCUGAGUACUAUAUAAUAGUUA